rnacentral:rRNA from 1 species
UACGGAGGGUGCAAGCGUUAUCCGGAUUCACUGGGUUUAAAGGGUGCGUAGGCGGGCAGGUAAGUCAGUGGUGAAAUCUCCGGGCUUAACCCGGAAACUGCCGUUGAUACUAUCUGUCUUGAAUAUUGUGGAGGUAAGCGGAAUAUGUCAUGUAGCGGUGAAAUGCUUAGAUAUGACAUAGAACACCAGUUGCGAAGGCAGCUUACUACACAGUUAUUGACGCUGAGGCACGAAAGCGUGGGGAUCAAACAGG